GGAGAGAAGAUGCUAAAUGCCAUGGCUUAUACAAUAUUCAAGUUACACAAAAAGCGCUUGCAGAGGCUCCAGUUAGAGGACCUGAGGGAGUUUCUUCAGGAGCAGCUGGCUGUUUCUUUCUUCCUGCCUGAUGACGUGGUGGUUGAACAGUUACAGGCUUCUAUGUCUGAACUACGAAGUAAAAAGCUGGACCAACCUCCACCAGCCAAAUCAGAG